rnacentral:tRNA from 1 species
UCUAAAUUAGCAGAAAUUAAUGUGUUUGACUUAGGCUCAAAAGGUGUGUAUUUAUCAUAUUUAGAA